UCCCACACUUGGGAGGCAAGAGGAUGGCUGUAAGUCUGAGUCUAGCCUGGGUCGACUGGACAAUAACCCGAUAGAGGAGAACUGUUCCUUGGUCAAGGGUGUAUGAGUAGUUGCACUCCCCUUCUAGAACCUACAAAUAAACUCUCAAGGAAGAUACUAAAUUAUAAAUCAAAC
rnacentral:sRNA from 1 species